GAAAUGCGAUAAGUAGUGUGAAUUGCAGAAUUCAGUGAAUCAUCGAAUCUUUGAACGCACAUUGCGCCCCUUGGUAUUCCAUGGGGCAUGCCUGUUCGAGCGUCAUUUGUACCCUCAAGCUCUGCUUGUUGUUGGGUGUUUGUCCCGUCUCCGCGCGUAGACUCGCCCCAAAGUGAUUGGCAGCCGGCGUACUGGUCCCGGAGCGCAGCACAUGUCGCGCAAACGAGUGCCUUGGUGCGGCGGCGUCCAUAAGCCCCUCUCUCACGCUCUUGACCUCGGAUCAGGUAGGGAUACCCGCUGAACUUAAGC
rnacentral:misc_RNA from 1 species